rnacentral:misc_RNA from 5 species
AACGCACCUUGCGCUCUAUGGCAAUCCGUAGAGCAUGCCUGUUUGAGUGCCAUGAAAUCUCCCACCCCAAGCGGUUUUUAAAUGAAACGGCUUGGCGGAUGGGGUCUGGAUGGGUGCCUCUGCCUGCGCUACCUAGCACAGGCUCGCCCGAAAUGCAUGAGCGCCUUGAGACACUUUGCAUCCGCCUCUCUGUUUGGGAGGAGGCGGCCAAGCAGUGUUUUUCUCCUGGCAUGGCAUGAUACGUCAUUUGCUAUGUCACCUAAAGGAGGAAUGUUUGGUUGUGUCUGCGUGUGCUUCAAACUUGCCUCUGUGGCACAUCCCAAUUUCACUUCUGGUCUCAAAUCAGGUAGGAUCACCCGCUGAACUUAA